rnacentral:piRNA from 1 species
UAAAUCACUGUAUGUUCCCAUUUGUUCC